rnacentral:rRNA from 1 species
CUACGGGGGGCUGCAGUGAGGAAUAUUGGACAAUGGGGGAAACCCUGAUCCAGCAAUGCCGCGUGAAUGAAGAAGGCCUUCGGGUUGUAAAGUUCUUUCACUCGUGAAGAUAAUGACGGUAGCGAGAGAAGAAGCUCCGGCUAACUCUGUGCCAGCAGCCGCGGUAAGACAGAGGGAGCUAGCGUUGUUCGGAAUUACUGGGCGUAAAGGGUGCGUAGGCGGUUGUUUAAGUAAAGUGUUAAAGCCCUGGGCUCAACCCAGGAAUUGCGUUUUAAACUGGACAGCUGGAGUAUGAUAGAGGAAAGUGGAAUUCCUAGUGUAGAGGUGAAAUUCGUAGAUAUUAGGAGGAACACCAGAGGCGAAGGCGGCUUUCUGGAUCAUUACUGACGCUGAGGCACGAAAGCGUGGGGAGCAAACAGGAUUAGAUACCCUGGUAGUC